AGCGAACGCUGGCGGCAGGCCUAACACAUGCAAGUCGAACGAACUCUUCGGAGUUAGUGGCGGACGGGUGAGUAACACGUGGGAACGUGCCUUUAGGUUCGGAAUAACUCAGGGAAACUUGUGCUAAUACCGAAUGUGCCCUUCGGGGGAAAGAUUUAUCGCCUUUAGAGCGGCCCGCGUCUGAUUAGCUAGUUGGUGAGGUAAAGGCUCACUAAGGCGACGAUCAGUAGCUGGUCUGAGAGGAUGAUCAGCCACAUUGGGACUGAGACACGGCCCAAACUCCUACGGGAGGCAGCAGUGGGGAAUCUUGCGCAAUGGGCGAAAGCCUGACGCAGCCAGGCCGCGUGAAUGAUGAAGGUCUUAGGAUUGUAAAAUUCUUUCACCGGGGACGAUAAUGACGGUACCCGGAGAAGAAGCCCCGGCUAACUUCGUG
rnacentral:rRNA from 1 species